GACGAACGCUGGCGGCGUGCUUAACACAUGCAAGUCGAACGGUGAAGCGCCUUCCUUUUUGGUGGGUGUGGAUGAGUGGCGAACGGGCGAGUAACCCGUGAGUAACCUGCCCCCUUCUUCUGAAUAACCGCACGAAAGAGUGGCUAAUACGGGAUGUUCUGGGUCUGUCGCAUGAUGGGUCUGGGAAGGGGAUUGUUUCGGUGGGGGAUGGGCUCGCGGCCUAUCAGCGUGUGGGGGGUGUGAUGGCCUACCAAGGUGGUGACGGGUAGCCGGCCUGGGGGGGUGGACGGUCAGACUGGGAGUGAGGCACGGCUCAGACUGAUACGGGAGGCAGAAGUGGGGAAUAGGGAACAGUGGGCGAAAGCCUGAUGCAGCGGCGCGGCGUGAGGGAUGGAGGCCUGCGGGUGGUGAACGUCUUUCGCUAGUGAAGCAGGCCUGCCUGGUAUGUGGGUGGGUUGACGGUAGCUGGAGAAGAAGCGCCGGCUAACUACGUG
rnacentral:rRNA from 1 species